CCCCGGGUAGCUCAGUCGGUAGAGCGUGUGGCUUUUAACCACAAUGUCCAGGGUUCGAGCCCCUGCUCGGGCG
rnacentral:tRNA from 1 species